GACGAACGCUGGGGCGUGCUUAACACAUGCAAGUCGAACGGUGAAGCGCCUUCCUUUUUGGUGGGUGUGGAUGAGUGGCGAACGGGUGAGUAACACGUGAGUAACCUGCCCCCUUCUUCUGGAUAACCGCAUGAAAGUGUGGCUAAUACGGGAUAUUCUGGGUCUGUCGCAUGAUGGGUCUGGGAAAGAUAUUGUUUCGGUGGGGGAUGGGCUCGCGGCCUAUCAGCUUGUUGGUGGGGUGAUGGCCUACCAAGGCGGUGACGGGUAGCCGGCCUGAGAGGGUGGACGGUCACACUGGGACUGAGACACGGCCCAGACUCCUACGGGAGGCAGCAGUGGGGAAUAUUGCACAAUGGGCGCAAGCCUGAUGCAGCGACGCCGCGUGAGGGAUGGAGGCCUUCGGGUUGUGAACCUCUUUCGCUAGUGAAGCAGGCCUGCCUCGUUUGUGGGUGGGUUGACGGUAGCUGGAUAAGAAGCGCCGGCUAACUACGUG
rnacentral:rRNA from 1 species